GGCUGAAUAGCAUAGGGGUAAUGCACCGGUUUGCAAAACCGUGUACGCCAGUUCGAUUCUGGCUUCAGCCU
rnacentral:tRNA from 1 species